GCCGCAUUCGUCUAGGGGACUAGGACGCGGCCCUCUCAAGGCCGAAACACGGGUCCGAAUCCCGUAUGCGGCA
rnacentral:tRNA from 1 species